rnacentral:ncRNA from 2 species
CGAAUCCGCGCGGGAGAGUUCCGGCCACAGUGUGAGCCGGGCGCCGAAGGAGCAAGAUCCUCCCUUGAAUCUCUCAGGCCCCGUUACCGCGUGGAUGAG